rnacentral:rRNA from 1 species
GAUGAACGCAGGCGGCGUGCCUAAUACAUGCAAGUCGAGCGAACAGACGAGGAGCUUGCUCCUCUGACGUUAGCGGCGGACGGGUGAGUAACACGUGGAUAACCUACCUAUAAGACUGGGAUAACUUCGGGAAACCGGAGCUAAUACCGGAUAAUAUAUUGAACCGCAUGGUUCAAUAGUGAAAGACGGUUUUGCUGUCACUUAUAGAUGGAUCCGCGCCGCAUUAGCUAGUUGGUAAGGUAGCGGCUUACCAAGGCGACGAUGCGUAGCCGACCUGAGAGGGUGAUCGGCCACACUGGAACUGAGACACGGUCCAGACUCCUACGGGAGGCAGCAGUAGGGAAUCUUCCGCAAUGGGCGAAAGCCUGACGGAGCAACGCCGCGUGAGUGAUGAAGGUCUUCGGAUCGUAAAACUCUGUUAUUAGGGAAGAACAAAUGUGUAAGUAACUAUGCACGUCUUGACGGUACCUAAUCAGAAAGCCACGGCUAACUACGUG